CUAGCCGUAAACGAUGGAUACUAGGCGUUGAGAGGAUCGACCCUCGCAGUGCCGUAGCUAACGCGUUAAGUAUCCCGCCUGGGGAGUACGCGCGCAAGCGUGAAACUCAAAGGAAUUGACGGGGGCCCGCACAAGCGGUGGAGUAUGUGGUUUAAUUCGAUGCAACGCGAAGAACCUUACCAGGGCUUGACAUGUCCGGAACCCUGCCCAAAGGCGGGGGUGCCUACGGGAACCGGAACACAGGUGGUGC
rnacentral:rRNA from 1 species